CAGCCUGAUCCAGCCAUGCCGCGUGCAGGAUGACGGUCCUAUGGAUUGUAAACUGCUUUUAUACGAGAAGAAACACUCCGACGUGUCGGAGCUUGACGGUAUCGUAAGAAUAAGGAUCGGCUAACUCCGUGCCAGCAGCCGCGGUAAUACGGAGGAUCCAAGCGUUAUCCGGAAUCAUUGGGUUUAAAGGGUCCGUAGGCGGUUUGGUAAGUCAGUGGUGAAAGCCCAUCGCUCAACGGUGGAACGGCCAUUGAUACUGCCAGACUUGAAUUAUUAGGAAGUAACUAGAAUAUGUAGUGUAGCGGUGAAAUGCUUAGAGAUUACAUGGAAUACCAAUUGCGAAGGCAGGUUACUACUAAUUGAUUGACGCUGAUGGACGAAAGCGUGGGUAGCGAACAGGAUUAGAUACCCUGGUAGUCCACGCCGUAAACGAUGGAUACUAGCUGUUGGAAGCAAUUUCAGUGGCUAAGCGAAAGUGAUAAGUAUCCCACCUGGGGAGUACGUUCGCAAGAAUGAAACUCAAAA
rnacentral:rRNA from 1 species